UAAUGACUUUUGCGGUCGUAUCCAAAAUUGCAUCUGAUGCUUCUAUUGUGUGGAGACGUAGCUGUUUCAGCAAAUAUGCCAGUUUGCGUGAAUUGUAGGACAAGGGGGGUGCCACCCCAUAUUCCAUUGUUGCAAGAGGUAUCCAAGGUGGCGGCGAUGACGUCAUCCAAAAUGGCGGCAUGUAGAGUUGGAAACAGCGCAUGACGUCAUCCAAGAUGGCGGAUUUUGGUGGGAAGUUUGAAUUUGGGCGGGAAGAUAGGUCAACUGGGCCACCUCCACUAACAUAACCCUCCAGAAAAAUUGGCGCCAAAUUCAAAUUCCAGCAGGAUAAUGCAUCACACCACGAAAAUAGCGGGAAAAAUAGACCAAUUGGGCUACGUCCACUAACCUAACCCUCACCCCCUAGAAAAUGGCGGCAAGUUCAAAUUCCAACAGGAUAAUGCAGCAGACCGCUCUUAUCUCUAUGAAGCAAAGAAAAUCGCAGGAAAAUAGCUCACUUGGCCUACCUCCACCAACCUAAGUCACCCGACCGCCACCUCUUCCUACGAACUGGCACCAGCUUUUAACUUUUGUGGUAAACAAAAUUCAAUUCCGAUAUGUCUACUAAGCUAACAAAAUGGUGUGAAAGAGAAGACACUUUACUAACCUCAGUCGCCAGACUGCCACCACCAACUAAGGAUUCAUGGGAAAAGGACUUUGACAUAAGACUUUAUUUAAACAAUUCCAUGCAUGUGUAUUCACCACAAGCCCAGGACUCCACCUGACAAGGUCUGGACUCCAACUGACUUAGUACAUAUCGUCGCCACCAGAGAGCGCCACUGUGAUGUCAUCCUAGAUGGCGACCGUGACAUCAGUCAAGAUGUCGGCACCCAGUGUAUCCACCACGUUGUGUCAGAUUAUACACUUGGCUUACCCGCACUAGAAAAUUGCGCCAAAUUCAAAUUCCAACACGAUAAUGUCUCGAAAGCUGUACGUCUAUUUAUUAUUAUUAUCAUUUAUUAUUUAUUCAAGAUGUCCGAUUUCGGCGGGAAGAAAGCCAUUUGCGUUACAUCCAUAUCAAAAAUCUGUCACAAGUUCAAAUUCCAACACCAUAAUCGAUCACACAUACGAAAUAAUCCACAUCCUGCGAACUUUGACUGUCACUUAUAUUUAUCAUUGCUAACCUAUCAAAAUCACGUCAAAUAAUAAACAGCUCUUGUACUAAUGUAAUUCACAUCCUGUGAUUUUGCAGGGAAAAAGCAUUGAAGUCUUUAUUUCAACCAGUACUGCCAUUACUUGUUCUCCAACAGACUCAGUACACAUCUUUGAGAUCGCACCAGCAUCCAUGAGGUCUAGGCCCCAACUGAAUUAGUUCAAAUCGUUGCCACCCCUGGCGCCACCACCGGCCCAUGAGCGAGCAGGCACAUCGCCCUACCUCACAGCCAUCGAUAGCAGGCCACGCGCUCCAGUGGCCACUUGGACCGUGUGGGUCCAGCAGUGUAAACAUGUUUUGCUGCUUUGAACCUGCCGAUUCUGACAUUGCAACUGUAGGUUGUCCAUUCACUAUGUGUAUUUGUCCCUCCCACACAUUUCGUGCCAAAAUUGUUUGCCCGAGAGUGGAAUCUUCCCCAACGUCAGACAACGGUUGGUUCAUUGGUCCAGCACGUGAUGGACAAAGAACGCCCUUCCACACUUAUGGCGCCAAACUGGUUUUCCUGGACAGGUUCGAACCCGCCGAUGCCAACGUCACACAAUGGUUGGUCCGUUUGCGAUCCACCAUGUGUCUUUGUGGGACCAAGAACGCACUACCACACUUUUUGCGCCAAAGUUGUUUGCUUGAGACUGGAAACUUCCAUGUCCUCACAACAGCACGUGUGUUCGCCACAAGGCCCCUUGCUAAGUUAACUGAUAAUGCGACUCUCAUUAUUCAGUCCACAUGAUCCCACCGCCUAAUCAAAAAUCGUCCCUAAAAACACACUCCUGUAUGCAUGGGCCAUACCUCCCCAAUUCAGAACUCACUCAAUAUAGCACCCUCCUACCUGCAAGUGAAUCUAACACAAAGUUCGCAACUCAAAUCCCUAUCUACAGAAAAUACGAACUCACCCAAAAUUUUAUACUGUCCCACAAAUACUUAACCUUCUCUUUAUUCAUAAAAAAUUCUCUCUUUACCAAGAAAAAUUUCCUUCAGCCCUUACUAACGCCAUUCUUGAUACCACCAACCUCCAAUUACACCUAUAUAACAUACUUCUAAUAAUAAAUCAUUCAUCCUAACACAAUACCUCUUAAUAUUCACACACACACACAUUAUCAUCUCGAAUAGUGAAUUCACUAUCGUCCAGUCUAUAUUCUAAAUAAUAUCAAUUAUUUGUCUAUAAUUUUACAAAUUAUAAAAUGUUCAGCUCUCCACCAUGUCCUGGAAGCAUCUCACUAGUUCAGCUUUCAGCUACUAGGGGUCCUAGUGAACUCAAUUACCACCCCCACAGAAUUCUCAACACCCAUUCGUUCAUCCUAAGAUCACGUGAUACUACAUCAUCAGACUUCUAUAAUGAGUCAUUUUUCUCACUCGUCCGUUGUCCGCAGCAUCGUUGGUUUGUUUUUCGUUGCUUUUCGUUGUUCUCUGCAAAAAUGAAGAGAGUUUACACCACCACCAGCAGCAGCAGGUCCUCAACACCCAAGAGGCGUAGGGUCCAGGAUAUGCCAUUACCCAGUAAGUAAAUAAUUUCUAUUUUUCAUUAUCCAUUUUCCUGUAUAUCUUAUAUAUUCAGCUUAUUAAUUAUAUAUAUCUCAUUGUUAUAGUGGACCUCGCGGACAUGAUCCUCGAUUGAGAGGAGCUGACUGGGGUCCAACAGGUUCCUGUGAUCGAGACACAGCCAGAAUUGCCUUAUCACUUAAGGCAAUUCCAGCUCGAGUUGAAAGCAGAGCUGGGGGCUAUCCCACGUAGUCCCCUACAUAAUUGGAUUCAGCCCCCAGCUCCAUAUGGCCCAAAACACCGUCACUCAUGAAACGCUAUUGAGGACCUUAUGGCUGUUGAUAGAUCGAGGCCAUUCAACAGCAGAUACAUCAUCAGCCUACUUGUGAUUAUAAGCACGUAUUGGACGAUGGACUGGCCGAUUUUUUUUGAGGUUGCCAUUGACUGCCCGGAUGAAUUGUUCAUGGCGUGGAGUCAGAGCCAAAAAUCGGUCGACUCUCAGCAUGCUGUAGCGUGCGUGCCCAUGGCAGCGGCUCCUAAACCGUCCAGUCAGCAGCACCCGCAGAGACAUGCCUCCCUGGUGAAGACGCCUUUGGUCACCGCGCAUGGAGCUGCCGCUGCCAAGGUCACGCAGCCUGGCUGUUUCCACUCGGGCUCUCCCUGGCGACCACGUGCACCAUCUGUCGCAUGGGAAGCUUAUAACGAUAUGUUUACGUAAUGUGUAUACAUAAACAUACAGUUAUAAAUGUCCCCGUUCGUAGUCGCUAAUUAUAACAAUAUGUUACUUUUGUGCUGUAACAUAUAGCUAUAAUCAGCGGUGGAAACAUAUUUGCGAACGCCGACCGUGUGCGGCUGUUUCUUGUUGGAUCGUCUGAUCAGUCGGAAGUUGCAUUGCGG